AAGAACUGCGUGGGUGAUUGGGAUUGGUUAAAACCUGAUAUGGAAAUGCCAUGUUGAACGAAUUUUAGUGUGAAUGAGCUUUUAUAGAGCUGAUUUUCUGUGGUGUUGUGUUGAUCGUUCUGUUCCAUGUUCAUAUUCAGUACAUAAAAGAAAGUGGUUACAAAACUAAAGAUGCAGAGGCCAGGAUGCUUUCACGUGUCAGAUGACAUCAGAGAAAGUUGCAGUGAUAACUGGCAAAACCUGACCGAUUACAAACUUGUAAUUAACGUAGAAUAUGAGAAUAAACAGAAGCGUAUGAAAUAUUCAUCUUUUAUCCAAGGAUAAGCAGGAGUUCAGACCACAAAUGCGUUUUCAUCUUCAGUCUACAUCAGCUGCAAUUGAGAUUGAACUUCAUAUAAUCGUUCAGCCACGGGUGGAAUAUUAGGUCUUCUAGAAAGCUACUGAUACCUUUAUUCUGUAACCCUUGAGAAUAUCCAGCCAACUUCAGCUUGAGAAUAUCCAGCCAACUUCAGCUUGAGAAUAUCCAGCCAACUUCAGCUUGAGAAUAUCCAGAAGUUCAACAUCAUCUGGAAACUACGAAAAUCUAACUCUGGGAAUUUCAACUACCAAAAAAUCAUUGUGGUUUUUGGAAUACUGAUAAGUUGAUUAACUAUUCCAGUUUUUUGAAUACUGCUAACCGUUGAUUAACCAUUGCUGUUUUUUGGAAUGCUGUCAACAGUUGAUUAACCACUGCAGCUUUUGGAAUGCUGUUAUCAGUUGACUGUAGAAGGUUUUAAGUUUUGACAAAGUUUAAGCAUCUCUGUACAGUAGAAGUUAAAUAUUACUUGACCUGUGAAAUGAAGUCACGAAUAUGUU